GACGAACGCUGGCGGCGUGCUUAACACAUGCAAGUCGAACGGAAAGGCCCUUCGGGGUACUCGAGUGGCGAACGGGUGAGUAACACGUGGGUGAUCUGCCCUGCACUUUGGGAUAAGCCUGGGAAACUGGGUCUAAUACCGAAUAGGACCACGCGCUUCAUGGUGUGUGGUGGAAAGCUUUUGCGGUGUGGGAUGGGCCCGCGGCCUAUCAGCUUGUUGGUGGGGUAAUGGCCUACCAAGGCGACGACGGGUAGCCGGCCUGAGAGGGUGACCGGCCACACUGGGACUGAGAUACGGCCCAGACUCCUACGGGAGGCAGCAGUGGGGAAUAUUGCACAAGGGGCGCAAGCCGGAUGCAGCGACGCCGCGUGGGGGAUGACGGCCUUCGGGUUGUAAACCUCUUUCAAUAGGGACGAAGCGCAAGUGACGGUACCUAUAGAAGAAGCACCGGCCAACUACGU
rnacentral:rRNA from 1 species